rfam:Gossypium arboreum cultivar AKA8401 contig_25600_1, whole genome shotgun sequence.
CAUAUGCAGUGGCUUGGUUAAAGGAACCUACCGGAGCCGUAGCGAAAGCAAGUCUUCAUAGGGUAAUUGUCACUGCUUAUGGACCCGAACCUGGGUGAUUUAUCCAUGACCAGGAUGAGGUUUGGGUGAAACUAAGUAGAGAUCUGAACAGACUGACGUUGAAGAAUUAAUGCAUAAGUUGUGAUUAAGUGUGAAAUACCACUCAUACCUAGAGCUAGCUAG